AGACCCGAAACCCGGUGAUCUAGCCAUGGGCAGGUUGAAGGUUGGGUAACACUAACUGGAGGACCGAACCGACUAAUGUUGAAAAAUUAGCGGAUGACCUGUGGCUGGGGGUGAAAGGCCAAUCAAACCGGGAGAUAGCUGGUUCUCCCCGAAAGCUAUUUAGGUAGCGCCUCGUGAAUUCAUCUCCGGGGGUAGAGCACUGUUUCGGCUAGGGGGCCAUCCCGGCUUACCAACCCGAUGCAAACUGCGAAUACCGGAGAAUGUUAUCACGGGAGACACACGGCGGGUGCUAACGUCCGUCGUGAAGAGGGAAACAACCCAGACCGCCAGCUAAGGUCCCAAAGUCAUGGUUAAGUGGGAAACGAUGUGGGAAGGCCCAGACAGCCAGGAUGUUGGCUUAGAAGCAGCCAUCAUUUAAAGAAAGCGUAAUAGCUCACUGGUCGAGUCGGCCUGCGCGGAAGAUGUAACGGGGCUAAACCAUGCACCGAAGCUGCGGCAGCGACGCUGAUGCGUUGUUGGGUAGGGGAGCGUUCUGUAAGCCUGCGAAGGUGGCCUGUGAGGGUUGCUGGAGGUAUCAGAAGUGCGAAUGCUGACAUAAGUAACGAUAAAGCGGGUGAAAAGCCCGCUCGCCGGAAGACCAAGGGUUCCUGUCCAACGUUAAUCGGGGCAGGGUGAGUCGACCCCUAAGGCGAGGCCGAAAGGCGUAGUCGAUGGGAAACGGGUUAAUAUUCCCGUACUUGGUGUUACUGCGAAGGGGGGACGGAGAAGGCUAUGUUGGCCGGGCGACGGUUGUCCCGGUUUAAGCGUGUAGGUGUGUGUUCCAGGUAAAUCCGGUUCACUUUAACACUGAGGCGUGACGACGAGGCACUACGGUGCUGAAGCAACAAAUGCCCUGCUUCCAGGAAAAGCCUCUAAGCAUCAGGUAACAUCAAAUCGUACCCCAAACCGACACAGGUGGUCAGGUAGAGAAUACCAAGGCGCUUGAGAGAACUCGGGUGAAGGAACUAGGCAAAAUGGUGCCGUAACUUCGGGAGAAGGCACGCUGACACGUAGGUGAAGUGAUUUACUCAUGGAGCUGAAGUCAGUCGAAGAUACCAGCUGGCUGCAACUGUUUAUUAAAAACACAGCACUGUGCAAACACGAAAGUGGACGUAUACGGUGUGACGCCUGCCCGGUGCCGGAAGGUUAAUUGAUGGGGUCAGCGCAAGCGAAGCUCCUGAUCGAAGCCCCGGUAAACGGCGGCCGUAACUAUAACGGUCCUAAGGUAGCGAAAUUCCUUGUCGGGUAAGUUCCGACCUGCACGAAUGGCGUAAUGAUGGCCAGGCUGUCUCCACCCGAGACUCAGUGAAAUUGAACUCGCUGUGAAGAUGCAGUGUACCCGCGGCAAGACGGAAAGACCCCGUGAACCUUUACUAUAGCUUGACACUGAACAUUGAGCCUUGAUGUGUAGGAUAGGUGGGAGGC
rnacentral:rRNA from 1 species